AUUGAACGCUGGCGGCGUGCUUAACACAUGCAAGUCGAGCGGUAACGCGGGGGCAACCCUGGCGACGAGCGGCGAACGGGUGCGUAAUGCAUGGGAAUCUGCCUGGUAAUGGGGAAUAACCCGGGGAAACUCGGGCUAAUGCCGCAUACGACCUACGGGUGAAAGCGGGGGACCGUAAGGCCUCGCGUUAUCAGAUGAGCCCAUGUCGGAUUAGCUAGUUGGUAGGGUAACGGCCUACCAAGGCGACGAUCCGUAGCUGGUCUGAGAGGACGGCCAGCCACACUGGGACUGAGACACGGCCCAGACUCCUACGGGUGGCAG
rnacentral:rRNA from 1 species